rnacentral:rRNA from 1 species
AUGGCGAUGUAUAGUAGGGGCGCGCCUCGUAGCAGCAACGCCGCGUGAGGACGACGGCCUCGGGUUGUAAACUCUUUAGUAGGGAAGAAGCGAAAGUGACGGUACCUGCAGAAAAAGCACCGGCUAACUACGUGCCAGCAGCCGCGGUAAUACGUAGGGUGCGAGCGUUGUCCGGAAUUAUUGGGCGUAAAGAGCUCGUAGGCGGUCUGUCGCGUCUGCUGUGAAAACCCGAGGCUCAACCUCGGGCCUGCAGUGGGUACGGGCAGACUAGAGUGCGGUAGGGGAGAAUGGAAUUCCUGGUGUAGCGGUGGAAUGCGCAGAUAUCAGGAGGAACACCGAUGGCGAAGGCAGUUCUCUGGGCCGUAACUGACGCUGAGGAGCGAAAGCGUGGGGAGCGAACAGGAUUAGAUACCCUGGUAGUCCACGCCGUAAACGUUGGGCGCUAGAUGUGGGGACCAUUCCACGGUUUCCGUGUCGCAGCUAACGCAUUAAGCGCCCCGCCUGGGGAGUACGGCCGCAAGGCUAAAACUCAAAGGAAUUGACGGGG